GACGAACGCUGGCGGCGUGCUUAACACAUGCAAGUCGAACGGAAAGGCCCUGCUUGCAGGGUACUCGAGUGGCGAACGGGUGAGUAACACGUGGGUGAUCUGCCCUGCACUUCGGGAUAAGCCUGGGAAACUGGGUCUAAUACCGGAUAGGAGCCAUUUUUAGUGUGAUGGUUGGAAAGUUUUUUCGGUGUAGGAUGAGCUCGCGGCCUAUCAGCUUGUUGGUGGGGUAAUGGCCUACCAAGGCGGCGACGGGUAGCCGGCCUGAGAGGGUGGACGGCCACAUUGGGACUGAGAUACGGGCCAGACUCCUACGGGAGGCAGCAGUGGGGAAUAUUGCACAAUGGGCGCAAGCCUGAUGCAGCGACGCCGCGUGGGGGAUGACGGCCUUCGGGUUGUAAACUCCUUUCGCUAGGGACGAAGCUUUUUGUGACGGUACCUAGAGAAGAAGCACCGGCUAACUACGUG
rnacentral:rRNA from 1 species